rnacentral:lncRNA from 1 species
AAUAACCUGUCUCCAACUUUUCCAUUUCUCUAAAUGACUAAUCAGUUUCAUUGGUGUGAGGCCUGAGAGUUUUGAACGUUCUUGAUGAAGGGACCCUCUAUACCCUCUUUCUCUUAUAUCCUUCUCCUCAUUUCAGUCUGCCUCUCUUGGUCUUUCCAGAUCUGCUUGGUGUUUGGCAUACCCAGGGUAUUCUUCGAGUAGGUACAUCUAUUCAUUCUUUUUUAGGCUUGUAGUAUCAAUGAUAUAGGCUAACCGGUUAGCCGAUCUCGGAGUGAAAUGAAAAGAAAUGGCCUGAAAUCUGUCUUUUUCUCUUUGUAUGUUUCUGAUGUGCGUACUUACUUGUGAUUUAUCACCGGAAUGAGCUUUGCAUUUGUUGAUAAUUGCUCUGGAGUCUCCUUCUAUAACAACAUUUGUGUAACCUAUAGCCUUCCCUAUGAGAACCGCUUCAUGGUAGGCAAUGGCUUCCCUCUUGAAGGCCGAGGCCACCAUUGAAUAGAGGUAGGAUUUAGUUAUUUUGAUUUCCCCUUUGUAAUCCCUCGCUACAAUUGCAGAUGCCGAUUGAUAAUUCUUGUCAUCGAAAGAGGCAUCAAAAUUGAUCUUGACUGUUAAUUGUCCAGGUGCAACCCAUUUUACAUGUUACUGGGCGUCUCUGAGUUUGCUCUCGUUUAUUCCAUCAAUUUCACCAAGGUGCUGUCGCACAAAACUUGCUGCAUCUUUCCCUAUAUAAGACCUGCCCUCAUGAAUAUUCUUGUUUCUAUCCAUCCAAAGCACCCAGAGUCCACAGACCAAAAUUUUGCAUUGUGCUACAGUACAUUUACUAAAGAUCCAAGUAAGCCAUUCAAUGCAUCCAUGUGAUUCACUAUGCUUAAUCCAGCUGAAACUUAAGGUAUUCCAUAAUUCUUUUGAUACAAGGCAUUCCACAAAGACAUGCCAGAGAUUUUCAGCACUGACUCUACAUUUGGGACAAUUAUCAUUUGGAGCCACUCUUCUUUGUAGCAAAUUAGCCAUCGUGGGGAUGUAGUUCCAUGACACUUUCCAUGCCAAAAUUUUAAUCUUGUUGGGG